rnacentral:rRNA from 1 species
GCGCGAAAACUUUACAAUGCUGGCAACAGCGAUAAGGGAACCUCGAGUGCCAGGUUACAAAUCUGGCUGUCGAGAUGCCUAAAAAGCAUUUCAUAGCAAGGGCCGGGCAAGACCGGUGCCAGCCGCCGCGGUAACACCGGCGGCUCGAGUGGUAACCGUUAUUAUUGGGUCUAAAGGGUCUGUAGCCGGCCGGAUAAGUCUCUUGAGAAAUCUGGCAGCUUAACUGUCAGGCUUUCAGGAGAUACUGUCUGGCUCGAGGCCGGGAGAGGUGAGAGGUACUUCAGGGGUAGGGGUGAAAUCUUGUAAUCCUUGAAGGACCACCAGUGGCGAAGGCGUCACCAGAACGGACCUGACGGCAAGGGACGAAAGCUAGGGGCACGAACCG